AGAGACGGAAGUGUUUUUAAUUCCAGUUGUGGUUUAUGAUUUUUGAAGGUAGAUUGAAAGUACACAGCUUUUAAAUAUUUCUUUGUUUUUAAUCAAUAGAAAUGCAGAUUUAACUCUGUAAUAGAUGGAUCUGACUUUGGAACAAAAGGGGAAGCAACAAGGGGAGGAGGGGGAAAUGUGGAUGACUUUGCAGGAUGGAAUCAAACAUAAGGUAAGAAGUUCACGGCAAAGGGAGAUCUGGAAGUGACUGGUGGUGCUGUAAAUAAAGGAGGGGGAAGCUAAGUUACCGUAUUUUUCGCUCUAUAAGACACACUUUUCCCCUCCUGAAAAGAAAGGGGAAAUGUGUGUACAUCUUAUGGAGUGAAUGAAGGUGGGAGGCUGCUCAGCUCUCUCUUUAAAGAGCCGCACACAUGCUCUGCGCGCUCUUUAAAGGGAGCGUGGCUCUUGAGCUAGCCUUCAUCCCACUGCCUGGGAGCGGCUGCACUCGGCUAUCCCAUAAGCCAGAACAGCAAGAGGCUUUCCCAGAAGCCAGAUCCCUCUUGCUGUUCUGGCUUCUGGGGUUCAGAAUAUUUUUUUUCUUGUUUUCCUCCUCCAAAAACUAGGUUCGUCUUAUGGUCUGGUGCAUCUUAUAGAGCGAAAAAACGGUACUUAAUUUGAAGGUCCUGAAGCUAUAUGUACACAGAAACAGCCAUCCUUGGGAACUGGCAUUUUUCCAAAGUUUGCAAUGCAGGUUUUCUGGCAGCUAAUGUGUAGAAAAAAUGUGUACACUGGGGUAGUGCGCAUAAAAAUGCAUAUAUUCACAAAAGUAACAUACAAAAAUGUGGUAUGGUAGGGUGUCAGACUAGGAUCUGGGAAACCAAGGUUCUAGUCUCCGUUCAACAAUGUGACAUGGAGGAGAGAUAACUACAUAUGUAUGCCACUAUGAGCCCUUGGGAGGAGAGGUGGCAUCUAAAUGUAAGAGUGAGUGAGUGAGUGAGAGAGGGAGGGAGUGAUACCAGGAGGAAAGUACUAGGGCAGAGGUAGGCAACCUAAGGCCCAGGGGCCGGAUGUGGCCCAAUAGUCUUCUCAAUCCGGCCUGCGGAUGGUCCAGGAAUCAGCGUGUUUUCACAUGAGUAGAAUGUGUCCUUUUAUUUAAAAUGCAUUUCUGGGUUAUUUGUUGGGCCUGCCUGGUGUUUUUACAUGAGCAGAAUGUGAGCUUUUAUUUAAAAUGCAUCUCUGGGUUAUUUCUGGGGCAUAGGAAUUUGUUCAUUCCCCCCCCCCCCCAAAAAAUAAUAAUAGUCCAGCCCACCACAUGGUCUGAGGGACAGUGGACUGGCCCACGGCUGAAAAAGGUUGCUGACCCCUGUACUAGGGAGAAUUUCUGCCAUCAAUUCCACCAUGAAUAAAAUGGAUGUGCGCUGGUGCGCUGGUUCAGGGAAAUGUAAUAGGUAGCAACAGAAGGGUUGAAGCACUAAUAGUUACCUGUUUGGUGUGGGGGUGGGAACAGGGACACAUGAGCUUAAGUAAGCACUACACCUCUAAACCAAGGGACGUGGGUGGCGCUGUGGGUUAAACCACAGAGCCUAGGACUUGCCGAUCAGAAGGUCAGCGGUUCAAAUCCCCGCAACGGGGUGAGCUCCCGUUGCUCAGUCCCUGCUCCUGCCAACCUAGCAGUUCAAAAGCACGUCAAAGUGCAAGUAGGUAAAUAGGUACCACUCCGGCGAAAAGGUAAAUGGCAUUUCCGUGCACUGCUCUGGUUCGCCAGAGGCGGCUUAGUCAUGCUGGCCACAUGACCCGGAAGCUGUACGCUGGCUCCCUUGGCCAAUAAAGCGAGAUGAGCGCCGCAACCACAGAGUCGGCCACGACUGGACCUAAUGGUCAGGGGUCCCUUUACCUUUACCUUUACCUUACUGCUGGUUAGCAAGCUUUUGAAGAAAAGCAAAAACUUGUACAAUCAGUGGAGAUGAUUGCAGAACACAAAGCAUGAGCAGCGCUGGUUCUAUCAUGUCUCUUUGAAAUAAAUAUUUGGCUGUCUCUAUCCCUUGCCUCCCACAGGGGCAGAACGAGCCACGAAACUAGUGUCAAUUGGAACAGCUCCCAGUGCCUUUUGGUUUUACUUUAAUGGUACUGAGUGUGCAGUUUAAUUGGAUUAGGUUUGAUUGAUUUAGUUUCUGAAGUGACUGCAAACUUUGUAAUCUGAAAUUGUUUUUCAAUUAUUCCCCAAACAGCUUUCCUUCGAUUGACCCGGAAGCUUGUUUCAUAACCUGGAGCUCUUCAGAGAGCCAAGAAGUUGCUCGGACUCAAUGGCCUGUUUGAUCUCACUGUUCUACAGGGAGACCAAGGUCAUCAGCUGUCUCCACUGGAAAGUCCCCCAGAGCAUUCAAGAACACCUCAGGGUUCAUCAGUUUCUGAGCGCAGGU
rnacentral:lncRNA from 1 species